GACGAACGCUGGCGGCGUGCUUAACACAUGCAAGUCGAACGGUAAGGCCCUUCGGGGUACACGAGUGGCGAACGGGUGAGUAACACGUGGGUGAUCUGCCCUGCACUUCGGGAUAAGCCUGGGAAACUGGGUCUAAUACCGGAUAGGACCACUGCCUGCAUGGGUGGUGGUGGAAAGCUUUUGCGGUGUGGGAUGGGCCCGCGGUCUAUCAGCUUGUUGGUGGGGUGAUGGCCUACCAAGGCGACGACGGGUAGCCGGCCUGAGAGGGUGACCGGCCACACUGGGACUGAGAUACGGCCCAGACUCCUACGGGGGGCAGCAGUGGGGAAUAUUGUACAAUGGGCGCAAGCCUGAUGCAGCGACGCCGCGUGAGGGAUGACGGCCUUCGGGUUGUAACCUCUUUCAGCACCGACGAAGCGCAAGUGACGGUAGGUGCAGAAGAAGGACCGGCCAACUACGUGCCAGCCGCCGCGGUAA
rnacentral:rRNA from 1 species